UACAGAGGGGGCAAGCGUUAUUCGGAAUUAUUGGGCGUAAAGGGCGCGUAGGCGGCCUGGCAAGUGGAAGGUGAAAUCCCUCGGCUUAACCGAGGAACUGCCCUCCAAACUGCUUGGCUUGAGUCCGGGAGAGGUGAGUGGAAUUCCCAGUGUAGCGGUGAAAUGCGUAGAUAUUGGGAGGAACACCAGUGGCGAAGGCGGCUCACUGGACCGGAACUGACGCUGAGGCGACGAAAGCGUGGGGAGCAAACGGGG
rnacentral:rRNA from 1 species